rnacentral:rRNA from 1 species
CUGGGCUAGAAUGCCUCUGACAACCCUAGAGAUAGGGCUUCCUAGGGAAACCUAGGCAGAGUGCAAGGUGCUGCAUGGCUGUCGUCAGCUCGUGUCGUGAGAUGUUGGGUUAAGUCCCGCAACGAGCGCAACCCUUAUCGAUAGUUGCUAGCGGUUCGGCCGAGCACUCUAUUGAGACUGCCGUUGACAAAACGGAGGAAGGUGGGGAUGACGUCAAGUCCUCAUGGCCUUUAUGUCCAGGGCUACACACGUGCUACAAUGGACGGUACAAAACGUCGCAAUCCCGCAAGGGGGAGCUAAUCGCUAAAACCGUUCUCAGUUCGGAUUGAAGUCUGCAACUCGACUUCAUGAAGUUGGAAUCUCUAGUAAUCGCAAAUUAUCAUGUUGCGGUGAAUACGUUCCC